rnacentral:piRNA from 1 species
UGGGAGAAGUGGUCAGGCCUCACGAAG